rnacentral:rRNA from 1 species
GACGAACGCUGGCGGCGUGCUUAACACAUGCAAGUCGAACGGAAAGGCCCUGCUUUUGUGGGGUGCUCGAGUGGCGAACGGGUGAGUAACACGUGAGUAACCUGCCCUUGACUUUGGGAUAACUUCAGGAAACUGUGGCUAAUACCGGAUAGGAGCUCCUGCUGCAAGGUGGGGGUUGGAAAGUUUCGGCGGUUGGGGAUGGACUCGCGGCUUAUCAGCUUGUGGGUGGGGUAGUGGCUUACCAAGGCUUUGACGGGUAGCCGGCCUGAGAGGGUGACCGGCCACAUUGGGACUGAGAUACGGCCCAGACUCCUACGGGAGGCAGCAGUGGGGAAUAUUGCACAAUGGGCGGAAGCCUGAUGCAGCAACGCCGCGUGCGGGAUGACGGCCUUCGGGUUGUAAACCGCUUUCGCCUGUGACGAAGCGUGAGUGACGGUAAUGGGUAAAGAAGCACCGGCUAACUACGUG